AGAAAACCCCUGUACCGAGCACAGGCAAUUACCCUCCACACGCAGAGACUUUGGAGCUGAAUUGUGCUGAAUAGAGAACCCCUCCGGCUGCCAGAGCCAUGUGUGCCCGGGAGGAGCAGCCACUUUUGCUCCGCUGAAAAGCAAUGCAAACACAGGGCUGAGGAGAACUGCUUCCAGGUCUGGGUGGAUGCAAACCUGAGUGGAGCCUGAACACCAUUAAAGCCACGCUGAAUAACAAAAAUCUAAAAAUAUGACUACAGUCAGGAUUUCAACUCCACAAUGCUGCUAUGCCGGGAUGUGACAGGCUUCCUACCCAGGUCUGGAAGGUGGUUGAUGAUGUUAGGAGUAAAGAGAAACCCAGAUGAAGAGCGGCAUAAGCAAUGGAGGUACCAACCCCCGAGCCUGUGUAUGUUGAUGUGGACAAGGGACUGACAUUGGCAUGUUUCGUCUUCCUCUGCCUCUUCUUGAUUGUGAUGAUUAUUCGCUGUGCAAAAGUCAUCAUGGACCCUUACAGUGCCAUCCCUACGUCUACAUGGGAGGAGCAGCAUCUAGAUGACUGAGAGGACUUCACUAGGCAGAGCCACAAAAUGCUGCAAUCCAGGAGGCCUCUUCCCACCGGGAAAGCAAACACACAAAAAGCCAUUUUCAGAUAUGCAGGGUAACGGCAAUAUCUCUAAGAGCACACGGUGUGAGUGAUUCUUGCUCAACAGAUCAGGAUAUCAGCAAGCCAUUCAGUCAGCCCAAUUUAAUACUAUGCAGCAACCCUUAUUUUACUGAAACCAGUUAUCAUUAACUCAAGUAGCACAAGACUUCCCAGACUUUUCACAUUAUAACUCUUGGUCUAGCACAGUUUGUCCUCCUUUUACUGUCUCCCACAAAAUCAGGGUAACCAUCAGAAUUUGGUAAAGCAACAAGAACAUUUUGUCCUUUCUGAAAAUGUAUUGCUCCAAAUAUUUUCCUCAGAUAUUAUAUUUCUGUUUUGAAAAAGGCCCAGGUUUUAUAGUUUCAUAUCCCAGAGCAUCGGUAAGUAGCAGCUCUAAAGCACCCUGGUUAAAUAGGGUAAUAUGAGCAGAUUAAUUCCUUACUCCCUUCUUUUUGGAUACACACUUCCUACCACAACACAGUCGUAUUUCCCAUGAUCAGGAUACAGAAGCUGUCAGACUGUGGUUCCCAGGGGUGUCAUGCACUACUGAUGACCCUGUAGCACCACCUCACUCUAUCCUACUCAUGCAAACACCAGGCAUUUUAUCAUCUGCUGCUGUUCCAUGGAUUAGCCAGAAGCAUCAGACCAUCUACGAUGAGCUUGGUAGCCACCAGAAGUCCAAGAAAAAGGUCUUGGACAGCACUGGUUUCAAGUAUAUAGAACUUGCUGUGAUUUUCAAAGGGUGAUUCCACAUGCAACUUUAUCCAUCGUUCUUUUCAGUUUCACUUCAGUGGGGUGAGACACAAAUAGAAUGGCAAAGACAAUAAGCAAGGAGACAUUGAUCUUAGUUUUGUCCCUCAGAUUCCUAAGCUUAACAGUUACAGUAACAUACAAUAAUAAGCAUUCUACCUCAGAGAUAUUCAGCACCUUUAAAGGAAUUUUCCCACAAAUGUGUAAGGUGAAGAGCUGUACAUUUCCUUCUCUGAGUUCAUGAAGACAACCAUUUUGCAAGAAAGCUUUUGUGAACAUGGGAGCUUUAGAAACAUGUUAUUUUCCAUCUGAACAGUGGGGAUUGGGGGAUUCCCAUGUCCUCUAUUCCCCCUAAGGUUUGCUCACAGCUGCCUUUUUUAGUGACUACACGCUUGGCUUAAGGGAUUUUAAGGAGUUGCUGAAGCAAUAUGGAAUAAGUAUUGCAAUCACAAGCAAAACAUGCAGACAAGACUUAAAAGCACAAAUCUGCAAGAAGAGCAUUUAACUAGUUCUGCUCUUCCUCAACAUCCUACCAUCCAUUCCCAAAGGUCUGGGAAGGAAUCAGGACAUAGACAUUGAAGGUUACCAUUCACAGUUCUGACAGAUUUGUUUGACGAUCACACAAGUCACUUUAUGUGCCUCAGUCUGCUCAUUGGUGAAAUGGGUACAACAAUAUUAAGUUGCCACACAAUGUUUUUUCUGUCUUAUAAUACCAGAAAGCACUUGGAGAGCUUUACAUAGAGAUACAGAAAUAAGGUGUUGAUUCACAACUCUUCCUGUGAAACUAAUAGGGAAGGUCUGAAUCUUAGUAUACAGCCAGGGAAGUUCUCUCCAGGCAGAGGACUUGUCCAGACCUCCAUUUACUCUCUCACUAAGAUUGUAGCAUUUUGAGUUAUGCCAAAUAGCUCCUGGCUUUGUUACAUAUUCCCCUGAUUUUUGAGGACAGUCUGGAUGUUAAGGUGCUCAGCACUGUGAUUACAGAGUUCCCAAAAUAGCAGGCUGUGAGGCACAUGGAGAUUUUUGCAUAAAUCUUUUGCACUGCACAAAUUUCACUAAUCUCUGUUGUAGGAGAUCUCAUUCAGGAGGCAGGAGAUUUGAGGACUGGCUUUAAUUCUCCUAUUCUCUACCAAGAGACCUCCACUGCUUCAAUUACCCACUGCAGAUUGCUCAUCAGGCUAUUAUUUAGCCUCAUUUCCUGCUAGCCAGCUAAUCACCAGUAACAGGACUUUUUCAAGUGUGAAUGUUAAUGUUCACCAUACUUUGAGCAAACACAUUACUCUCUCUUAUUCAUGAGUGUGUCUAUCUGUACCACACAAAUGGGUGCCCUAGCUCAAAGGAGAUUGCUUCUGUUCCCUGGGCUAAAGUUUUAAACUCAUUUUUAGUCACCACAUCUCAUAUUCCACCUUGAUACUAGUGGGGCUACUUACAGAAUAAACAAAAAAAA